ensembl:lncRNA
GUCAGUUCCACCAACAGGUACACCUUCGCAACUUUGUCUUUUCAAGGAAUGUUCUUUGGAGUCUCAAACGGGUGUGCCUACAUUCUCUGGCAUCCAUACUGCCCAUUAUUGUGGAUCGCACAGACCACAGGGACUAGGAGGUUGGAGAGGUCAAGAAUGCAGAAUGAUCUGAUAGAGAUGAUGAGAGAAAUUAGGUUUCAUGAGUCUGCCAUAUGAAGGAGGAGAGACAGCAGAUGGCUCUGUGGCCUGUCUUGGUCCCAUCUUCUUGAUACCUAUAUGCCACUUCUGACAGAACAUUAAGUAACUUGCUCCAAAUAAGAUGAAGAUUGAUUGUUUCUGUCUCCAGAGUGAUGGUCUUCUCCUGAGGCUUACUAAAUGACAUGAAUAGCACUGAUGAAAUUGUGGUGAAACAGUGUUGACAGUCUGCUUUUGAAAAGUGUGGCACUAGAUCAAAGUUCAUCUAUUAAAUUCUUUACUCUGAAUGAUCAGCCAAUGCACAGCAUUUCAGCAUCAUGCUUUGUCCUCAGAAGAUUUCAUCACUGUUUCUCAAGGAUGUGACUACCGUCUUGGUGUUGGUAUUUUGGCUGGCAAGGAAUCACUGCUUGUAGAAGAACAUAGAUCAGCUAAAUCAACUGUUCAGAGGGGCACCUGGCACCACUCCCAAUAUGCAAGAUGGCUGCAGUUUUUCUUUGGCUUAGAUGUCACCUCUGGAAGAUGGAGACAAGAUACUGUAUGUGCAGUUGAAAUAGUUUUUUUCAGUAUGGUACGGCAAGCCCCACCAUUGAUUCAUUUCUAUACAACUCGAGUAUGA